rnacentral:ncRNA from 2 species
AAAGCAAUCAAAGCGCCAGAACUGUGCUUUUUGAAGAAGGACAGUUGACGAGGUGGAGGUUCAUCGAAUCAUUCGGCGGAUGCCUCCCGGCUGAUACUGCAGCCGACAAGCAUGACCUAAAACGGAAAGGCGACUUUCCCGACAAGAGGUCCUGCACCAGUGCAU